GACGAACCGAGCGAACGUUGUUCGGAAUCACUGGGCUUAAAGGGCGCGUAGGCGGGCUGCCGCGUCCGGGGUGAAAUCCCACGGCUCAACCGUGGAACGGCCCCGGGUACGGGCGGCCUCGAGGGGGGUAGGGGCGUGCGGAACUGUGGGUGGAGCGGUGAAAUGCGUUGAUAUCCACAGGAACUCCGGUGGCGAAGGCGGCACGCUGGACCCCUUCUGACGCUGAGGAGCGAAAGCCAGGGGAGCAAACGGG
rnacentral:rRNA from 1 species